rnacentral:snRNA from 1 species
UAAUGUGUUUUAGGACUGCAACAAAUAUUUGUUAAUCUCAUUGUUCCUCAGGGUCACUUGAAUGUUCUGACUGGCUUAAGUAAUAUCAUCUUCCCCACCACUCCUUAAGCAUCCUUUGGAGCUUUGUGCUUGGUUAAGGUUUUGAGAGUUAGCUCUGCUUCCCUCCUAGAGCCUUUGUACAUGCUCACAGGACCCACUUUUAGGAGAAAUGCAGGGUGGGUGAAUUUCUUUUGCCUCUGUCCUAGUUUCUUUUCCAAAAUGACAGCGAUUUUGUGUUUUAGA